AAAUUGAAGAGUUUGAUCAUGGCUCAGAUUGAACGCUGGCGGCAGGCCUAACACAUGCAAGUCGAACGGUAACAGGAAGCAGCUUGCUGCUUUGCUGACGAGUGGCGGACGGGUGAGUAAUGUCUGGGAAACUGCCUGAUGGAGGGGGAUAACUACUGGAAACGGUAGCUAAUACCGCAUAACGUCGCAAGACCAAAGAGGGGGACCUUCGGGCCUCUUGCC
rnacentral:rRNA from 1 species